rnacentral:rRNA from 1 species
UAAGGAAUAUUGGUCAAUGGAGGAAACUCUGAACCAGCCAUGCCGCGUGGAGGAUGAAGGUCCUCUGGAUUGUAAACUUCUUUUAUAUGGGACGAAAAAGGGACUUUCUAGUUCAACUGACGGUACCAAAUGAAUAAGCACCGGCUAACUCCGUGCCAGCAGCCGCGGUAAUACGGAGGGUGCAAGCGUUAUCCGGAUUCACUGGGUUUAAAGGGAGCGUAGGUGGGUUGGUAAGUCAGAGGUGAAAUCUCCGAGCUUAACUCGGAAACUGCCUUUGAUACUAUCAGUCUUGAAUAUUGUGGAGGUUAGCGGAAUAUGUCAUGUAGCGGUGAAAUGCUUAGAUAUGACAUAGAACACCAAUUGCGAAGGCAGCUGGCUACGCAUAUAUUGACACUGAGGCACGAAAGCGUGGGGAUCAAACA